ACUCCCCACUCCCCGCCGCCUCUCCUUCUUCCACAGCCAAAUCAACAAACCAAGAAAACAAACCAAGAAAACCGUAGCCGCCUCUCACUUCGUCUCCCCUGCAAUAUCUCUCCCCCAAUCUCCACACGUCCUCCCUCCCCCAAUCUCUCUUCCUUCCUCUGCCACUCUGCCAGACCCAACAGCUGGUUGAGCCACCUCUAUCCCAUCUUCUGGCCGAGCUUGUCGAGCCGUCGUCACAACCAGCAGCCACCUCACCACGUGAGCAGCAACAUCGUGCUAUGGUCCUGGCGGCUGACGCGGGAUAGAGAGCGGAGGCGGCGCAGGAAGGAUGAGCACACAGAGGUGGUGGAGCAGCAGCGGUAUAGGCGAAGACCCUCUCCAUCAUCCUCUGGCUCUAGGCUGCUAAGGUCCUCAUUGACCAGAACGAAUCUGGAAAGGUCUCUUGGUUAUUUGAGAAGUAUUAGAUGAUUCCAGCAUCCGUCUUGCCCAUCAAGAGUAGGUUUGUUCUGCUGAUCAAGAGCGUGGUGAGCAAGGCAUUAAGGAUGCCAGCAAAUUGUCUCUGAGUAAAUUAUUGGUGAAGUUUGUGGUAGUCGGCCAUGUCCUGGCAGCACCUGGGGACAAAGUAUCGGCAUCGGUGGUCUCGCCGGCUCCACAUUGUCCUAGAAUUAUUGGUGGAAGAAGCAUCAAUUUGUCCGAGCUUGACGCCGGAUCUUUAUUUGGUAUGUCCAUGCGCAGGCCACCUCUCUCGCUGCUGGUUUGCUGCCGCACUCCGUCUCUCCUCUCCUCGGUGCUCAACCCGAGGAGCGUGGGACAUUGUUGCACGCCCCUUUUCCGUCCUCUGGCUGAGGUACAAGCGCAGGCGGGUCUGGCAGAUGACGGCCAGGUUCUGGCUGAUUGUGGGGGUGGUUGUUCUGUGGGGGUCUUUGUUCUCAGCGACAGGGAGAGGAACACCAACCUGAACGCUACAAGUUUUGAUCAUGGUUGAGGGCCGCUCUGUCCAUGGUCACCGGGAGAGUCAUCUCCCUGGUUGUGCUCUUGCCUCAAAUCGACCAGCGGAUGUUAGACACAGUUUCCUGUGUUGGAUCUGACAAGGAGGUUUGGAUUGGCUCUCCUAUCUCCUACAUCUCCAUUUAUUUUCGGAAAUUGAUAUGGGUUAUCCUUAUGUAAUGAAACAAUUUAGAUUAAACAUAAACUAAGAGAUAGAUACAGACCAAAGUUAAGUUGUUUGCUUGAGUAAAUUAGGCAGCGGCAUGGCCUCUGCCUCCUUAUAGUGAGACACUGUGAAAUGGAAGGUAUAAGUAUCAGCUAAAUCUUUUAUAGUGGAUCCCUUUAUAUGUUAUGUAUCAACAAUGUUUCCUUUUGGCAAGGUUAAUAAUAAUUAUGUGCCCCGACAAAACUGAUUCAUCCUCAGUUGUCUGUGCUUCAAGUCUUCUUUGAAAAAUGCAAAAUUCUUGUGACUGGUGGUGGAUUGUGUGUUCAGGUUAUAUUGUGUAAAAUGUAAAAAUUGCAAAAUCUAACGUGUGUUUAGGUUAGACUAUGCUAAUUCAAUCAUAUUGGUAUUCUCUGGUGUUUCGCUAUGGCGGCUUGCGCCCCUUCAUAUUGUUGGGGCCAAUGCGAAUUGCAUAUGGUCAUACUGCAAUUAGUGUUGCAAUCUACUUAUAUUUUUGGCUUUUCACACUUCCUCACAAUUUUGUGACCAUCGGAGCAUUGCAUAUGGUGGCACUGCAAUCAAUUAUGCAGUCCACUUUAUUCAUGCCAUUACUGUAGGUGCGUUAUCAAACCGAUGGAGUUCUGUUUAGACACCUUUGUUCUCUUUACGAUGAGCCUAUGGUACAUAGAUCCUGUGAACUUGGAUCUUGAUUGCCUUUGUUUUUGAUGUUGCUAACAUCAAAUUCAUCAGUGUUAAGUAGGCAUGUAAAUUUCCCCUUAUGCUAUAUCUUUAUCUGCAUACAUAUUUCUUGCUCUAGAUAAUAUAUCUUAUUUAUCUGGGUAUAUUUAAUUAUCGCUGGUAUUUCUCUGGCAAUUUUAGGUGGUACCUAUUUUUGUCAUUAGAGAAGGAAAUAUUUCUCAGUUUCCGCUAUUAACUUGUGUUUUAUUCUCCUACAUGAUAGGAUCAUAUCAUAGGCAUAGAGACAUUAUGCAUUGGAGGGUGAGAAAGUUUACCCAAGAGGGCUGCAUCCAUAUGACAAAUAAGUUUCGUUCUUCCCUUCAGAAUGAUACAUAUAUCCAAGGUUUUUGAGCCGCCAGCCCUCCGGCUUGGUGAUUAAUCUUAACUGCCCAUGGCUUUUAAUGGGGAGGAUAUAUUAUCUGUGCAUGCUGAUCUAAACCGAGAGUUAACUCACUAUGGAUUGGUUUCCGCAGUUGGGUGUUUCAUCUGGAUUGCUUCCAUGUUAACUGUGAAUUUCCUUGCUGGUACUAGACCUGACGAGGAGGUUUUCGUUGUCAUCUCUAAUGGUGUGAGGAUUUCUUACAUAUGUAUAUUGUUAUGGGUUUUCUUGUUAAGUGUGAUUAAACAUAUUGCUAUGCACUCCUAUAUUUGUAUUUUUGGUAGCCGGGGAAAGCACUAUGGGCUGUCUGUUUUUUGCUUUUGGUUUUAAUCACUGCAAUAUCAUGUUUAACAACAUAAUUAAGUUGGUGGUCCUACCUCAAUGGUUCUCUAUCUGUCUGAAGUAA